CCGGGAUUGAGUGGCGCCGGCCGGGAAAUGGAUGAGACUCCUUCGGCAUGGGACGGGAGGGAAACAGGCUUGGGAUAAACACGGGGUGCUACUGAGUUACAAUCCUUGGGCUGAAUCAUCUGCUGUAAAGGGAUGUUGACAUACAGACCUUGUAAUGCACACCUGCCAGAGCACAACAGGACACUGACGCGCCUGAUGUGGUGACACUGUUGCUGUUGACACCACGGUCGCUGGCCUCUCGUACCUUCCUAAUGACCCUGGUGAAGGAGGGUGUGUUGCCUCCCGCAGCGUACCUGCACGAGGAACGGGAGAUGAAGCGCUUCCUCGCCUCUCAGAGCUGAGGAUCUGGCUUUUCCAUCUUGCACCACUGUAAACCUCACUUGGACCAGGAGCGGGUCUGGAUGCCUGAGGCAGACCCAGGAGAGGGCAGAGAGAGUAUCCUAUUGUGCAUUACAAAGAAGUCUACUGGGAGCUGCGGAGAUCUAUUUUUCCCCAGUAUGAUUCAUAGACAGUUUUUGUCGGGGUUCAUCUCUGGUGCCAGUCUGCUGAUGUGCCCUUUCUUACACUGAGAUCUUGGUCAUCUGAUGCACUUCUAAUGCAAGGAAUUGAGCUGCUGUGUCAUUCUUCGUGGAGCUGGCUGUGACUCAGUGGUUCUUCUUAUUGGUCUUGGUGCCAGCAAAGAGUCUGUAUCUUUCUGAGUUUCUGGUUCCUUUUCUGUCUGUCUCUCUCUUUGCGAAGAGCUGUAACUCCAAAUUUUAAAGGAUAAUAGUAUCAGCUCAAAUACAGGCCUUUGGAAAUAUCUCAAACUUAUCAAUCUAUUGACUAAAAUGUGCUAUGCUUAUAACCCAUAUUAGUUUUUGUAGUCAGUAAAAUGUAGUUUGUGCAAAUACUUCACUUCACAGUGUGUGUGAUAAAACAGGUGGGUGUUCUGUUUCCCAUUAAAUAACCAAAAGUUUAGAUGAUGGUUAUCAAACAUUCUUUUAUGCAAUUUCAACACCACGCCUAAACUUGAAGGCAGCAUUUCAAACAAACUCCAGAAGUUUACGCAGGCAAGAAAAGAUUUGUGUGUGUGUGUGUUAAGAAAUCAGAGUUCUCCCUAUCAAAUAGCCAUGAGAAGAACAGAUCUGUGCUUGUAAGUGUUGGAAUUUGUUUUCCUUCAGAAUCGCAGCCAGAACAAAAACAAAUAGGUUAUUUAACUAACUGCCUGCGUGGCACUGUUUUCUGUCUUUGUCCAUCUGUCCAGGGUAACAUGCUAUUACCAUACCUUGUUAUACCAUGUACCAUGUUUAUUUAUCUUUAUUG